GUUCGAGCGUCAUUUAAACCAAUCCAGCUUGCUGGGUCUUGGGCUUUCGCCUCUGGGCGGGCCUUAAAAUCAGUGGCGGUGCAUCUGGCUCUAAGCGUAGUAAUUCUUCUCGCUAUGGAGUUCCAGGUGGAGGCUUGCCAACCAACCCCUAAUUUUCAAAGGUUGACCUCGGAUCAGGUAGGGAUACCCGCUGAACUUAA
rnacentral:misc_RNA from 1 species